UACGAAGGGGGCUAGCGUUGUUCGGAAUUACUGGGCGUAAAGCGCACGUAGGCGGAUACUUAAGUCAGGGGUGAAAUCCCGGGGCUCAACCCCCGGAACUGCCUUUGAUACUGGGUAUCUCGAGUCCGGAAGAGGCGAGUGGAAUUCCUGGUGUAGCGGUGGAAAUGCGCAGAUAGUCAGGAGGAACACCAAGUAGCGGAAGGCAGCUCGCUGGGACGGUACUGACGCGUAAGGCGCGAAAGCGUGGGGGAGCGAACAGG
rnacentral:rRNA from 1 species